AGUCCGGGGCUAGGGACUGGGGGAGUUUAGACAAGAAAGCACAGAAGAAGCCCCAGGAAGUGAUGGGAGUAGGAGACAGACAAAGAGGGUGUUUGAGAAAUGUUUCUAUAGGCAAAGUAUCUCCUGCAUGGGACUAAAGAGACAUAAAGGACGGGAGCAAUUUUUGAAAAUACAAGUGGAUGCUAGACUGCGUUUCUUUGAACAUCACAUCAGCCUGAGACCAGCCCACAUGAAUCAUGGCUUCAAAGGGGUGACAGGUUAAUCUGGCAGCAGAACUUAUGGAGGAUGAUCAGAAAGAGUAGAAGAAAUAUAGAGGUGAAGGGAUCAUUGGAAUAGACUUGGACUUGGGGACUGAAUCACUGCAGAGGGAUAAAGAAGGAGGAAGAGUCCCAGGUUUCAGUGCAGAAUAGUCACAUAGGGGAUGGGAGAUGAGACUCAGCUUGGAUGCCUUCACCUCUUUGUAGAGGUUGUCCAGAGCACCGUGUUGAAAAACAUUACGAGGUCAAUCUGGGAAAAUGUUAUGGCCAAAUGGAGAUCUUUGCCAUGAGCUGCGGAGCUAGCUCUGCCUUUAUUGACCCUGAACUUAGGGAAUAACAGCAUUGUUGACGGCAUUGAUGGCUUAAGGACAUCAGCAUGGAAGCUGGGUUUCUGGAAGAGAGAAUGAACUUGGCUGAAACUGAAGCAAUGCACACCGCUUUUGCUAUUUGUUUUUGUUUUGUUUUUUUCUUUUUUUCCACCAUCGAUGCAUUUUAAAGUUCCCAGAUUUGUACUCCAGUACCAACAGGAAUGAAGCAUCGCAGUGUACCCCUGAAGCAGCCUCAUCUGUUUACAGAAAACCUUGGGUGCCUUCUGAAGAGGAGGUUGUAGACUGACUCUCAGAAAUGGCAUAUGACCAAAUGGACAGCUGACAUCUAAGUAUUUAUCCUGGACAGCUGUUCUCCCUGUGCUCUGCACUGAAAUUUACCCUGAAGUUUUUCUAGGUGUAGACAAAGAUUGGAUGGUACGUUUUACGAAGUGUUACUCAAUUGUGAGUAUGAAGAGCAAUCAUUUAAUUCUCAAAGUUGCUCAAACAACAAAGGCAUCUCCACUCUGAACUGUGAGCUCCAACAGGGCUAGGACCUCUGCUAUAUCCCCAGGCCCCAGUAGAGUCUGUAGUACACUAGGCAACACCUGAUUGCUAACUGCAGGAAUGAAUCAGUGUCUUUUUUUGUUUCCUCUUUCUUCUGCUCAAGGAGCCCCAAAGUUGUGCUUAACAGUAUUUAAGUACAUUGUUCUCAAUAGAAGUCUACCUGGGCUGUGGGCCAGAACAAAUUUUAUUACUAUUGUGGCAAAUACAUUUUCUAACUCAAAUUAGCAAAUAUUUUUGAGCACCUACUGUGUUCAUAUCCUUAUUGAACUAUUCCACCUCUAGAAAUGUAUCCUACAGAUGUACCUGCUCAUAUGCACUUGUGUAAAGGGUAUGACUUGGUCCAUUUUGUGCUGCAAUGACUGAAUAUCACAGAUUGGGUAAUAUAUAAUAAACAGAUUAUUAUUAUUA
ensembl:lncRNA novel transcript